rnacentral:rRNA from 1 species
CCUACGGGUGGCAGCAGUGAGGAAUAUUGGUCAAUGGGCGCGAGCCUGAACCAGCCAAGUCGCGUGAGUGAAGAAGUAUUUCGGUAUGUAAAGCUCUAUCAGCAGGGAAGAAAUAGCGACCUUUGGGUCGCCAGACGGUACCUGCUUAAGAAGCCCCGGCUAACUACGUGCCAGCAGCCGCGGUAAUACGUAGGGGGCAAGGGUUAUCCGGAUUUACUGGAGGUAAAGGGAGCGUAAACGGCAACGCAAGUCUGAAGUGAAAUGCCGGGGCUUAACCCCGGAACUGCUUUGGAAACUGUGCAGCUAGAGUGCAGGAGAGGUAAGGGGAAUUCCGAGGGUAGCGGUGAAAUGCGUAGAUAUGAGGAGGAACACCAGUGGCGAGGGCGGCUUACUGGACUGUAACUGACGUUGAGGCUCGAAAGCGUGGGGAGCAAACAGGAUUAGAUACCCGGGUAGU